rnacentral:rRNA from 1 species
GAUGAACGCUGGCGGCGUGCUUAACACAUGCAAGUCGAACGGGAAACAUUUCAUUGAGGCUUCGGCGGAUUUGGUCUGUUUCUAGUGGCGGACGGGUGAGUAACGCGUGGGUAACCUGCCUUGUACUGGGGGAUAACAGCCAGAAAUGGCUGCUAAUACCGCAUAAGCGCACGGGACCGCAUGGUCCUGUGUGAAAAACUCCGGUGGUAUAAGAUGGACCCGCGUUGGAUUAGCUAGUUGGCAGGGCAGCGGCCUACCAAGGCGACGAUCCAUAGCCGGCCUGGGAGGGUGAACGGCCACAUUGGGACUGGGACACGGCCCAGACUCCUACGGGAGGCAGCAGUGGGGAAUAUUGCACAAUGGGGGAAACCCUGAUGCAGCGACGCCGCGUGAAGGAAGAAGUAUCUCGGUAUGUAAACUUCUAUCAGCAGGGAAGAUAAUGACGGUACCUGACUAAGAAGCCCCGGCUAACUACGUGCCAGCAGCCGCCGUAA